UACGUAGGGCGCAAGCGUUGUCCGGAAUUAUUGGGCGUAAAGCGCUCGUAGGCGGUUUGUUGCGUCUGCUGUGAAAACCUAAGGCUCAACCUUGGGCUUGCAGUGGGUACGGGCAGACUAGAGUGCGGUAGGGGUGACUGGAAUUCCUGGUGUAGCGGUGGAAUGCGCAGAUAUCAGGAGGAACACCGGUGGCGAAGGCGGAUCUCUGGGCCUGUCCUGACGCUCAGGCGCGAAAGCUAGGGGAGCAAACAGG
rnacentral:rRNA from 1 species